rnacentral:rRNA from 1 species
AUUGAACGCUGGCGGCCGGCCUAACACAUGCAAGUCGAGCGAGCGGCGGACGGGUGCGUAAUGUCUGGGGACUGCCCGAUGGAGGGGGCUAACUACUGGAAACGGUAGCUAAUACCGCAUACUAUCGGAUAACCCAUAUGGGAUUAGCUAGUAGGUGGGGUAAUGGCUCACCUAGGCGACGAUCCCUAGCUGGUCUGAGAGGAUGAUCAGCCACAAUGGAAAGGAGACACGGUCCAGACUCCUACGGAGGCAGCAGUGGGGAAGAUUGCACAAGGGGCGCAAGCCUGAUGCAGCCAUGCCGCGUGUAUGAAGAAGGCCCUCGGGUUGUAAAGCACUUUCAGCUGGGAGGCGUUACCGACAGAAGAAGCACCGGCUAACUCCGUGCCAGCAGCCGCGGUAAUUC